CCGUAAACUAUUAACCCACACUAACCCCGCGCCAGGGAACUACGAGCCUUAGCUUAAAACCCAAAGGACUUGACGGUGUCCCACCCAACUAGAGGAGCCUGUUCUAUAAUCGAUAACCCCCGCUUCACCCAACCCCCCCUUGCUUUAUCAGCCUGUAUACCUCCGUCGUAAACCCGCCGUAUGAAUGUACUUAAGCGGAUUCAAUGGUCUCCCACCAACACGUCAGGUCAAGGUGCAGCCAAUGGGGGUGGUAAGUAAUGGGCUACAAUUUCUAACCUAGAACAAACGAAGUACUGCAUGAAACACAGUCAUGAAGGAGGAUUUAGUAGUAAAAAGAAAGUAGCGUGUUCUUUUUAACACGGCCCUGGGACGUGUACACACCGCCCGUCGCCCUCUUCGACAACACUAUUCUGUUACCUAACCCAACUAAUAACUAGAGAAGAGGUAAGUCGUAACAUGGUAAGUGUACCGGAAGGUGCACUUGGCUCA
rnacentral:rRNA from 1 species